GGAUAUUUAGAUUCUGGGUUCAAAAUGUCUUUAUUUAUGGAUUGGAAGACCCAAGCUUGACCACGUGGAGAUGUUUCUAUUUGGUUACCUUUUGGUCUGCACUGAAGACAGAGACACUGAUUAUCUGUAUUGUCCGCACUUUGCCUACAUGUGUUUGACCACUACUACACGAUUGAUAACAGUGACAUAACCCCCUUGUUCAUACAAGAAGCCAUUUCUUUCUCUGCAGAUGUAACAGGCAAAGUAAUUCUCACCAAAACUCAGGGAAUGAUGGUCUUAUGGGGUGUGUCAGUAUGUCAGCCAUUGUCAUGCCAUUCCAUGACACGCACAAAAAGGCGUCACAGUCAUUGAAGUGCUCUGAGCAGUCACUGAAGAUCAGAUUCUGAAACCUUACUCCUUUGGGCAGCACAAGACAUGUGCAGGAGAUGUGUUCAUCCAACCAGGUUGACCUAUGGACCCUGCCAAAAAAAAUUUUCCAUGUGAACUUGAGUUUGCAAGGCCCUUUUUUUCAGUCCCGAAAACUCUGCGUUCUGAAAAAGGACAUCUGUGAUAAGAUGGAACUUGGCACCAGUAACUCAUGUACUAUGGGUGAAGCAUGCUCAGAAGAGGCAGACCCAGAGGUAGUCCUGAAUCUUGUAAAUGGCUCUGGGUGAAUCCGAAGAACUGCAUGUAAUUUGGCAGGUAAAAAAUUAUUUUAAAAAUAAUUUGACUGUGAAUGUUCACCAGUACAGAGAGUUUAAGGAUCCUUCAUUAGCCCUUGAUUUUCACCACAUUUGGUUUGUCUGUAAGCAACUCAAUGAGAUUUUCUAGCAAGAAUGAAACUUACUAAACUGAAAAAUUAAUAUGCGCAGAAAUUUAAAGCUUGCUCCACCCUGCAGAGUUUGUGGCUGGGAAAAAUCAUUUGCUUUUGCUACUACUUCUCUGAGUGACUGCAGUGGGGGUGGCCAAGUUUUGGUGCUAAAUCAAAGGAUUUUGCAGGAUAACAAUAGCUGAGCUAUUGGUAGGGGAAGAACAUGCAUCUGUAACUCCA
rnacentral:lncRNA from 1 species